AGGACGAACGCUGGCGGCGUGCCUAACACAUGCAAGUCGAGCGAGGAGAUUCCUUCGGGAUGAUCCUAGCGGCGGACGGGUGAGUAACACGUGGGCAACCUGCCUCAUAGAGAGGAAUAGCCUUCCGAAAGGGAGAUUAAUACCUCAUAACAUUGCAGUUUCGCAUGGAACAGCAAUUAAAGGAGCAAUCCACUAUGAGAUGGGCCCGCGGCGCAUUAGCUAGUUGGUGAGGUAACGGCUCACCAAGGCGACGAUGCGUAGCCGACCUGAGAGGGUGAUCGGCCACAUUGGGACUGAGACACGGCCCAGACUCCUACGGGAGGCAGCAGUGGGGAAUAUUGCACAAUGGGGGAAACCCUGAUGCCAGCAACGCCGCGUGAGUGAUGACGGCCUUCGGGUUGUAAAGCUCUGUCUUCAGGGACGAUAAUGACGGUACCUGAGGAGGAAGCCACGGCUAACUACGUGCCAGCCGCCGC
rnacentral:rRNA from 1 species